rnacentral:lncRNA from 1 species
CCUUUGGAUGUUCACAGAUGAGGGAAGGAAUCAUAAUUGGCUAACAAGAGGAGAUACAUUUGACUAUGUUAAGAGAACUGGAGGACCUCCACCAAGAUCUUGUGAUUGACAUCAUGUCUGGAUGCAGCUGCUUAUAAUCCACAGCCUCUGAAUAUAAAGACAGGUUAUGUCCCCGAAACACAAAAGAUACAAUGAUGAAGAGGAAUAAAACGACUACAACAAACACUUCCACUCAAAAAAGGGACAUAACAGAAGGUGCUGAUCAGAAACCCACAAAUAUCUGCCAGGCUGGCAACAGACCCUAAAGAGAGAGAUUAACAAAAAACAGUUGAGGAGCAAGCUAAAUUCCUACAGGCAAUAGUGGGACCAGAGCUCAUAGGCUGGCACCAAUAGUACAGUUUGGUCCCAAGGAGAAGCAGCAAGGCCAUGCAGGGAAUCACAUAAACAGGUCAGAUUUGUUUGAAGCAGUUUGACAGAGGAACAGACUAUAAAUUGUGGAAACCUGCCCACCUUUGUUUAUUCUUUGGCUGUGGAGGAACCAAGGAUAAAUAACUUGUAUACAAGCUCCUGGGAAUAAAGAAAAUUCUAACUAGCCUGAGACAUGGUCCUGACUUCUGCCAACAGAAACCUCCAGCAAUUGCUGGCUUAGGUAAAAAACAAAAACAAACAAACAAAAAACAAAACAAUACAAAAACCUCCUUUAAAGAUGAGUGUCCCAAAAGGAACUGAUAGAGGAUCUAAAAAUUAUGAUAAAGUAUUUUGCCCAAAUAAUAAUAAUAAAAAACUUAAAGCAAUCAUCUUGGUGAAAGAACACAAAAAAAUAGAACUCAAGGCGACAGGAGGAUCUGAGACAUGAUCUAUAGAACACAACAAAAAACUAAAUGGCAGAGAAAAUCCAUCACAGCAAAGAAGUUGAAACUGAAAGGAAGGCAAAUACGUUCAAAAGCUGAUUUUAAAAUAAAAUAAAAUAUUUAAACAGUUUUAAAAGGAAGCACAAAUGCACAAAGUAAGAAAUGAUUGAUAAGAAGUAGCACCAAAGGCAUAGAGGAAAUUUAAAUAAAUUACCUAGCUCAGUUUUAUACAAACUUGGAAACAUAAAUGAAAUGGAAAGUAUACUAGACAAUAUACUAGAAAUAUUAAACAGACCAGUUCCUAUAAAUGAAAUAAGAAAGCUAUUAAUAUCUUCCCUCUCCCACACACCAAAGGCAUAAAAUCCAGUUUCAGAAAUUCUACUACACCUUUACAGAACAGAAUUAAACUCAUUUAAACUCUUCCAGAGCGUGGGCGGAGUGGUGACGGUGGAAGGAAAGAAAACUACCAAACUCUUGGGAUAAUCUUUAUAUGAAACUGUACAUCAAAACCUGAUAAAGAUUGCACAGAAACAUAAAACUACAGAUGAAUUCCAUGUACUAAUAUGAUGCAAAAGUCCUAAAUAAAUUAAAACUAUAAACCAUUCUGACAAAGUGGGGUUUAUUCUAGGAAUAAAAAGAUGAUCCUUAGGAAACAUACUACCAUAUUUCACUAUAUUUAAGGAGGAAAGAAGACUAUCAGGUUUCUCCAUAGGUACUGAAGAAAGGCACUUUACAUUUUAGAAUUGCUUUUUUAAAAAAGGAAAAAAGAGAAGAGUCCA